AGGAGGAGGGAGCACGGCUACAUUACCAACACACACAUACACACACUGGAUACAUUACACUGUGGAAGCAGUGCGGGGAGCAGUGGGAAGUCUGUCCACGACGUUUUCCCCUCUCUAUCUUCUUUUUCUGAUUGUUUUAUGACUUUUGCUUUCAUCCCUCCUCAUCCGAGCAGCUGAGAGGAUGUAUUUUUACGCAUGAAAGCGGCUUGCUGCGUUGUUUCGUCCUAAGUGUUUGAAUUGUUUUCUCUACAUCCACCAGUUACCAUUUAAACCUCCAGACGGUGUUUUGGUUUCGUGAGCCUACUUUGUUCCCACUUCAAGGACGCACGAGUUUCUUCACUGGACUUAUUUUUCUGACUUUUAUAAAUGCACUUUUUGACGUUGAGUCAUUUUGUACUGGACCAUAUACUCCGUUGGUUGACUGAAAACAAGUGAUGAGAGUUUAACUCGUGGGUUGUCUCUCUUUUUUUUAAUUUUUUUUUCCUCAUGACAUUAAGUUGUGCCGCGGACUCUCCCUCUGGUCCGUCACAUCUUGACUCUUCGGGUCUGACUUUCUUUCAGUAUUAGCUGAAACACUCACAGGACGCCGACAGCAGCCUCACUCCUGUUGCUUCAGUGAAAACACACCGGCAGCGUGUUCGCACGCCGCUUCCUCUCCAAGUGACUCACGGUCUGCACUCCGCUAAAAAACAAGGGGACGUUUCCCACUCAGGGGAUUUUAAGUGGGAGUUUUCCCCCCUCUGUAAUCUCGGACAGUGCUGGCGUGUGGCUUCAGUUUUCUCUCUGAAACAAACACUAGAACACAAAACAUGCCACAGUUAUCAGGCGGCGGAGACCCGGAGCUGUGCGCCACAGACGAAAUGAUCCCGUUCAAAGACGAAGGAGACCCGCAUAAAGAGCAGAUCUUCGCCGAGCUCAGCCACUCAGAGGAAGAAGGAGACCUGGCAGACAUCAAGUCAUCUCUGGUCAACGAGUCAGAAAGCAGCCCCAACAGCAACAGCCACGAUGCAGCUAGACAGUCCCAAAUACAAGAUUCAUAUCACGAAAAACACAGAGACCAUCAGGAUGAUGGAAAGCAUCAAGACAUGUACGGUAAAGGUCCGUACUCGGGUUACCCAGGGUACAUCAUGAUGACCAACAUGAACGACUCUUACAUGAACAAUGGCUCCCUCUCUCCGCCCAUUCCCAGAACGGUCAGUACGGGCUACUUUCUCUCCAACAAAGUCCCAGUGGUGCAGCCGUCCCAUGCAGUCCACCCUCUCACCCCGCUGAUCACGUACAGCGAUGAGCACUUCGCCCCAGGGUCCCAUUCUGGUCAUCACCCCCAGGAUGGCAGCAACAAACAAGGAAUGCAGAGGCAUCACCCAGGAUCAGAAAUGGCCAACUUCUACUCCCUGUCUCCUGGAGGAGUUGGUCAGAUCACACCACCUUUGGGAUGGUUCUCACACCACAUGGUGCCCGGCCCCCCAGGUCCCCACGCUACAGGGAUCCCCCACCCAGCCAUCGUCAACCCGCAGGUCAAACAUGAGCCUCUGCAUGAAACAGACAUCAUGCACAUGAAACCCCAGCACGAACAGAGAAAGGAGCAGGAACCCAAAAGACCGCACAUCAAGAAGCCGCUAAACGCCUUCAUGCUGUACAUGAAAGAGAUGCGUGCCAAUGUGGUCGCCGAGUGCACGCUGAAGGAGAGCGCCGCCAUCAAUCAGAUCCUGGGACGAAGGUGGCAUGCUUUAUCUCGGGAAGAGCAAGCUAAGUAUUAUGAGUUAGCCCGCAAGGAACGGCAGCUCCACAUGCAGCUCUACCCAGGCUGGUCUGCUCGAGACAACUAUGUAAGUAUCAACAGAACAGAUUGGAAGAGGUGCGUGUGCGUGUGUGAGUGUGUGAGUGAGUGUGUGUGUGUGGAUUUGAUGUUGUUUGUCUCUGUCAGUGUUGCAUGACUUGUUCUUCAAAUGGCACACAAUAAUGACACGCACAUUAAUUCAUACUGGCCAGCUCCAUGCUAAUGGGGUCCAUUUGCAGACCCAUUGUUUCAGCCUUAUGUGUAAUUCAUACAUUAUAUUACCAUCCACACUAGAACAGAUUGUAGUAUCGUGGACAUUAUUAUUUCCACGGUGAGGGAAAACUGCCUGGUGAUGGUUCUGCUCCUCUUUGAUGUUCCAUAUCAGCAUGGAUGUAAAAAGCUCCUGUUAGACUGAGUUUAGGAUGCUGUAUCCUGCAUACAGAGUCGAACAGCAGCCACCUUUGCUCCUCUUGCUGCCCAUUUUGUUUGUGAAUGUGGAGGGUUCAGCUGGAUUUAAGAUCUUGAUGUGUGUGUGUGUGUGUGUGUUUCUGCGUCUAUAUGUUUCCUCAGAAGUUCUGUGUCGUUUACGUGUGGUGUGUAUGAAUUUGUGAGAGAAAGAGAGCACCAGCCUUUUAUUAAAAGUGUGGCUCCAGCACUCACGUUCACUCCACCACCAAAGUGCUUUGUGGUGUUUAUCUGCCUCCCCUCGGACACCGACAGCAUCCCUCCUCCUUCUGCCUCUGCCGCUCCACUCACUGCCAACGUGCCUCGCUGAGGGGAAGACACAGCACGGUUAAAGAUGCAAAGUAGCAGCUAAUGACAGUUAGCCCAGUUCCCGUUUCAUUUCCACCUUUUUUUUGUACAAACAUAUCUGACAGGUAGGUGAGAAGUAGAGGUAUUGCUUCCUACCUGGCAUACCAAAGAGAUAAAGGGAGCCGAUAUGUUAAAGGGGGAAUAUUUCUUAAACUGAGUUUUGUAUCCGUUUGAGGGCUUUUUCUUGACUCCCCCUAUAAACACACUCCUCAGCUGCAGCACAUCAUGCCUGGAAACACCCAAAAAUAGUCAUUACACUGGCAUGGAGAGCGUGUAGCAUUCAUAGUUUUAACUGCGUGCCCCCCCCCCCCCCCCCCCCCCCCCCCCUCAUCCUUUCUCUCACCCACUCUCACUUAGUCUCUCUUCUCCCCUGUCUGCCGCAGCAGUAGAAGGCAGAUUAGCUCAUGAAUAAGUGGAUUAGCAGACUUUGCAGCAGGAAACCAAAGUGCUGCUCAUAUUUGACUAGGACGACUCCGCACUGCUAUCUAUACCUAUAGUCUCCCCCCUGGGGAUUUAGCAUAAGCUAUAAAUCCUUACACACUCCCACCACCUCGCUGGAAGAAGAGUGGUGCACUUCAUAGUCAUCCAGCUAGACUAGCCUAAUUACAGUGAGCAUUUUUAAUUGCUCUUCAUGUUAAUAUUUGUCAUUAGAAGGACUUCAAAGGCAGUGGAAAUGUGACGCAGAGAGGCCACAUCAGCAGGACAAGCUACCUCUGUAUUGUUAGCAUGCUCCCCACUCAUCACAGGCCUAAAAUGGUAAAAAAGGAAGUCAUUAUAAGCAGCUAAAAGCAGGUAGAGCACACUUAACAGCAGACCAGCCUGCUCUGUCCCCCUCAGCGCGACAGUUUGCGAUGGAGUCCGGAGACCAGGGGGAUGCUGGUUGGAUGCCCAGCAGGGGAUGAGUGAACAUGGCAGUCAGCAGCAGGAUACCAGAGUGGUCUAGUGAGCGUGAGUGCUGGAGCCACACUUUAUGUGUUCCCCUGUAUAUUUUUUAGGGAAAGAAGAAGAAGCGGAAGAGGGAGAAGAUGCAGGAAUCAACCGCGGGUACAGGCCAGAGAAUGAAAACGGCGUACAUCUGAGAAAAUGGAGGAAAACGUAGCAACUUCUCCACAUGCAAAGCGAAGGCAGCAGCUACGGGCCCUCUGCUUGAGAUGGAGGCCUGUUAAGAUUCCAUGAAGACCCUUACAAAUCUCCAAACUGAAGCCUCCAGAUCUCAGAGGACCCACCCCACCUAACCCCUUACUCCCUUUCCUUCAACACAGUCACAUGCCACCACCACCAUCAUCACCACCAAAAACACUUCACUGUUAGACCCCUCCUCCCUGAAGGUGCCUGCUGUAAAGACACUGAACUGAAGACAAUCAUGAUUAGUAGGAGCACCCUCACACACCCACGUCCUCUCACCCAGAAUCCACAAAAACAGCAAUUUAACAUCAGAAUUUUCUCCUUCUCACAAUCAGCUUUACUGCAAUCAAAGGCACUGCACUGAAAAACAGCAGCAAUUUUAAUGUGCGCACAAACUGCACCGGCCAAACACCUCUUUCUACAUUUAUCGUAAUUUAUUUGUCACCUAGGUUUGUUUGUAUAGUUCAUUGGGCCGACAUUCACUCCUCCAACUUCUGUCCCCCGUCCUCUCUCUAUCUCUCUUUCUCUCUCUCUCUGUCUCUUUCUGGAUUUUUGAGACCAUUUGGGGUUUCGCCCUAUCGACCAAACACCUCUUUUUGACUGCACUAAAGGAAGACGGAGGGAUCUCAUCUUGUCUAAAAAAGAAAAAAAAAAGUCCUCAAGACGCCAUUUUUAGUUUGUCGCUGACCAGUUGGUGCAAAAAAGGAUCAACAUUUUAAUUUGCGUUUCAUUUUAGACUGACUUUUAUUUUGAAUGCUUUUUUGUAUCUUGAACCCUUGUUUCAACUUCUUGGUGUAUAUUUUAGUGAUUUUUUUUAUUUGAAAUAUUGUUUUUUUUUAUAUAGUGGUUAUAUAUGAAAAUAAGCUUUGGACACAGGAAAGCCAUUUUUCUUGUUGAAGCGUCUUGCAGAAAAUUGAAACUUAAGGCUUCUUUUGAUAACUAUUUGUAACAAAUAGUGACCUCGAGUCUUGCUCAGAUGUAAAAUAAUGCUCAGUAUGUGUACUUUUUAAAAACUGUCAGGAUAUGUCAAUUUUCUUGGUAUUUUUGCAGGCAACAUUAGGACAAAGGCGAGAGUGAUAGCUCAGAGGCCUAUAUUUUAUUGUUCUAAAACAUGACAAAUGAAGCAGAUAUAUAUAUUUACCCCAGCACUUGGCAGUCUUUCUUUUAUUGCAAUGGACCUUUUUGUCUUUACUCUCUGGUAGCUGAUAGUGUGGUCUUUAGCCAUGUUGUUUAUUCCAUGCAAGCAUCUCUGUAACAUUUUGAUUUAAUGCUCUAUUUUAGUAUUACUUGAUGAAUUCCUUUUUUUUAUUAUCAUGUUUCGGGUCACUGUCAUCUUGGUUUAGCAUUUUGCUUCCCAAGUGGUCAUAUUUGAACUGUUUCAACAUGUUUUGUUCUGUUUUUUGUAAGAAAAAUAAAAAGGCACCAUUGGCUCAUUUGAUUUCUCAUGUUAUGGAAAGAGCAGAGCUGGGAGUGCCAGAUUUAAA